GCAGAGUAAAUUUGUGUUGCGUUAAGUGUCAGGUGAACGGGGAGUUGUCAUCUGAACGAAAAGAGCGAUUCUUGCGGUACACGGAUUGCAUCCCGCUG
rnacentral:ncRNA from 1 species